UAUAUAUUAUACGCAUAUAACAACAACAGGAAAAAUGCAUCCAAUAUAAAACGUAAACAAUAAAUAAUAUAUAUUUAUAUAUAUGUAUGAAAAGUAAUCAGUGUGCGCAGAAUGAAAAACAACUCUGGAUUAAAACCAGAAGCGUACAAUAUUAAUUAAAACCAGAAGCGUACAAUAUUAAUUAAAACCAGAAGCGUACAAUAUUAAUUAAAACCAGAAACAGCGUACCUUAUCUCCAGUGCAUGUAUGUAUACAGUAGAUAAAAAAAAUAAAAAUAAAAACUGAAUAUAUAUUUUCUCAAAGAUGCCCAAAAUGAAACGCAAAAGCAAAAGGCGUUUCGUUCAUCUUCAACCUCCGCAUUGUUCCAACAAGGCGUAUACAAACACGAACCCAAUAAUAUGUGAGGGUUUUAGCAUCAAAAUUUCAUAGAAAAUUUUCUUCUUUCGAUUCAGUUUCAAAACAAUUGACAAAACGAAAAAUACAAUACGCAGAGGAGUGAACCAAACAAGGCAGAGGAUAAACGUGCUCUGAUACCAAAUGUAAAAUAUUCAUACUAAAGAUUCAAUAAAUCCAAAUAUCUCAAACAAGCACAUUUAAUCAUAUUCAGAUUUAUAAGAAAGAAAGCGGAAGCAGAAAGACCAACCUCCAGCCAUUGUUGUAUGCUUGCUUAACUUCUGGUUUCUGAACCCUUGCUCUCCUGCCAUUGCAUUUUGUAAUCCAAAUCCAGACAGCUUUGUUUUCUAAACCUUAACUCACUCAAACUUGAUGGUGUGUUUUCUGAAUAGAGGAGUAGGCUUAAUGAUCAAAACUGAGAGUAACUCAUUCCCUUAUGUAAAGUCUGGCCAUCACAGGUUCAAAACAAAUGGGCUUUACGUUUAAAAUUAAUAACUGCUCCAUAACCUCUAUGCAGUUAAAAAGAUAAAAUAAUGGCUUAAUGGACCACUUAAUGUUCCUUAAAAAUAGGAACUGAAAAUGCUAUAAUAUUUAUUUUAUAUUUAAAAUAAUGCUAACAGUAAGCAAUUGAAUAAGAGUGAAACGGGUCCGUUUUAAGUCAUCAAGAAUGAGUUUUUGAAAUUGUUACACUUUCUUCUUUUGGGACAAUCUAUGUAUGGAAAAAGCUGUAUUUUACUUUGGAAAAUGUUAUGUUGACAACCAAUUUUUGCUAACAAUUUGACAACACCAUGUGGCGUCUUUGCAUUGGCUAAAUAAAGUGAAAAGAAAUAAGGGAGAGGUUAUGAGGCCGAGGGAUAUUUUUGGAAGAAGAUUUCAAAAUUUUAAGAAAUUGGUUUGGCGGUUUCGAUUUUCGUUUAGUGGGCGUAAGGCGCGUAGGUUUUUCAACCCUUCCAUCUUCUCUCUAGCUCUGUCCUCCAUUUUGACCCGUCCAUCUUCUCUCACUUUGUAUCGUGUAUGUUAUCUUUGAAACCCUAGUGUUGUUGGUCUUGUGUUGUUGUAUUUGUGUGGUUGGAAGGCGGGUGCAGUUUUUGGUGUGGUUACUUUGUUGUGGAUUUCCCGUCUGCUAGAGGAGGCCGUGGAGCAUUGUUAUCCGUCGUUGUUGGUGUAAGUAAAAAUGGCCGAGCCCUCACUUUGUCUUUUACAUUGUCUUUUUGGUGUUUCAUUAAUGUUAAUGAUAUAACUAGCGUGGAUUGUUAUUUUGUUAGUGCAGUUUCAAUGGAAGGGAAAAAUCGAAGUUGGCGGCUUCUAAUCUUGAUGGACUCAUCGAUCAUUAUUGAAAUGAAUCGUUUACUAGGAAAAUGUCAUGUGGAGCGCAUUGGGAUGACUCCAUUUAUGUGGUGUUUGAAUAUUCAUAGCCCUGUGGAGGUGAAUUUGAAAUUAUUGAAGGUUAUGGUUUGCAGGUGGGCCGGGCAUGAUAAUAGUUUUAGAGUGUACAUAAACAUAUUGUACAGAAUUUAAAUAAAUGUAAGAAGAAAAUUAUGAGAGGAGGUAUCGCGCAAUCACUCACUCUUAGUGGCAAUGUGGCGGUGUUGCAGGCUUGGGCAGUUGAAAGACUUUCUUGCAUGGUCAUGCUUCACACAGGUUUUUCCCGCGCAUAAUGCGAUGGUUCCCGUAUAAUUCAAGGACCGAAAAAAUUGAACAUAUUUUUUUUCAGACCGGAGAUUUAAAUCUGAAGUGGUAUGUAAGAAAGGAAGAUCGUCAUCGCCCGGAAAUCCGUGCAGCUUUCCACAUGGAUGACGGAGGGAUGAGUGAAGGAUCCUUGGCUGAAGGAUCCAAGAUUGAGAAACACGAUGACGAAAGCUCUGAUGACGACACAUAGGAAGCAGGUGCCGAGGAGAGAUUGAGGAAAAAUAAUGCAUUGAAUACCAAGAUUGGAGUUCUUACAAGGGAGUUAUUUGAAAUUUGUCAAACUCCAAUCUUUACUGAAGAAGAUGCAUGUGGUACUGAUGAAGAAGUUGCUGGUGGAGUUGAUGAAGCACCUGAAGUUGGAGGUGACGAAGAGGCUGAAGUUGGUCGUGAUUAUGGAUUUGAACAACAAGGUGAUGGUAAUGCAGUUGAUGACCCUCUAGGUGCAUAUACGAAAGUAAGAGGGGAGGAUAAAAUCGCAUAUGAAGAUAAGAUAGUUUCAAGAAGUCAUGACAAAAUUGUUUGUAUUGAAAUCCAUGAUGAUGGUGAUGAAGACGAACGAGUGGCCAUACCAUUGGUUAUCCUCCCAUUGCGCAGUUUGUUGGGGAUCCAAGCAGCACUGUUGAUGUAGACCAAAUGUACAGAGCAAUCAGCGUUAUAGAGAUCACUGUAUACAGGUGGUGUUAUUUGCUUGUACGAUGUUUAUAUACUUUGAGAAAAGGUUGUGCGUGUUAGCAAAAUGAUGAAGAUGAAGUUUUGAUGAUAUCCAAUUCAAGUCAAGAACAACCAAAACUCAUGAAGAAUGAUUUUGAAGACUUAUAACUUUUGUAAUAACUGUAUUCUAUUUAAAACAUAGGAAAUUAGUGGUGUUUAUGUAUGCAUUUAAAAGUGAUGUAAAAAUAAACAAGGAAUCAAAAACUGUGCAGUGCUAAUCGAUUAACCAUGGCAGUUAAUCGAUUAGCGUUAAUCGAUUAACCAAGGCAGUUA